rnacentral:rRNA from 1 species
ACUGGCGCACGGGUGAGUAACGCGUGGAAAUCUACCCCGGGGUGGGGGAUAACCGCUGGAAACGGCGGCUAAUACCGCAUGUCCCUUGAGAGGGAAAGCCUUCGGGCGCCUUGGGAUGAGCCCGCGUUGGAUUAGCUAGUUGGUGGGGUAAGAGCCCACCAAGGCGUCGAUCCAUAGCUGGUCUGAGAGGAUGAUCAGCCACACUGGGACUGAGACACGGCCCAGACUCCUACGGGAGGCAGCAGUGGGGAAUAUUGGACAAUGGACGCAAGCCUGAUCCAGCCAUGCCGCGUGAGUGAAGAAGGCCUUAGGGUUGUAAAGCUCUUUCACCCGCGAAGAUGAUGACGGUAGCGGGAGAAGAAGCCCCGGCUAACUCCGUGCCAGCAGCCGCGGUAAUACGGAGGGGGCGAGCGU